AACGAACGCUGGCGGCAUGCCUAAUACAUGCAAGUCGAACGAGAUCUUCGGAUCUAGUGGCGCACGGGUGCGUAACGCGUGGGAAUCUACCCUUGGGUUCGGAAUAACAGUUAGAAAUGACUGCUAAUACCGGAUGAUGACGUAAGUCCAAAGAUUUAUCGCCCAAGGAUGAGCCCGCGUAAGAUUAGCUAGUUGGUGAGGUAAAGGCUCACCAAGGCUACGAUCUUUAGCUGGUCUGAGAGGAUGAUCAGCCACACUGGGACUGAGACACGGCCCAGACUCCUACGGGAGGCAGCAGUAGGGAAUAUUGGACAAUGGGCGAAAGCCUGAUCCAGCAAUGCCGCGUGAGUGAUGAAGGCCUUAGGGUUGUAAAGCUCUUUUACCCGAGAUGAUAAUGACAGUAUCGGGAGAAUAAGCUCCGGCUAACUCCGUGCCAGCAGCCGCGGUAAGUCGUGUGACA
rnacentral:rRNA from 1 species